UCUAUCUAUUACAUUCAUUCAGCCUUUAUAAUACAAUUUGAUUAUACAUUAAGCUUCUAAACAUAAUAUAAAGCUUACAUCUUCCAAAAUAUAAACAUUAGCUUACAUUCAUUCCAGAAUAUCUCACAUCCUAUACAUCAUCUACUCUCAAAGCAUAAAAGGUGACUCUAAUGCAGAAAUAGGAAAGUAGACUAAUGCAACUAGGGCGCUAGGCCCUUACCGCGAUCCUCGCCGUGUGAACUCGCGCUCGGCCCUGUAGUAAAAUGGGGGUGAGAACUAACUUCCUUAGUUCCCAGUGGGUUCGGCCGCCGACUCCGCCGAUCUCCCCACUAGGUCCAAGUCGGGCACAAGUAGAUAAUCGAUAGAUAGAUAGAUAAGGAAAGCG
rnacentral:lncRNA from 1 species